CAGUCCAAGAUGACCCUCGGGAAUCACAACACAUCAGCCAGCGUCGGCCUUUCAAGCAGACAGCUGGGGACGCAGUUACGAGCACCCAAGCUGUAAAGAAAUUCUGGUUAAAAUACUUAUUCGUGGGCCCUGUGAGAAGCUCGUGCUUUAAAGGCCGGCAGCUUGUGAGUUCAGCGCUGACGCCGCUGAGGGCUCAAUUCAGCCCGGACUCAGGAGAGGAAGAAGCGCUGCCGAGCAGCCUCAGACACGCUCACCCCGCAGCGCACGGCUGAGAGGCCCCGAACACCGCUCCUUGGAACUGGACUCAAGAUCUUAUCAACGAGAUACGAUGCAGCACUUCUCCUUCAAGAUUUAAGAUACCGUUCUUCUGGAGGAAAACACUGAAAGCAGUCCUAGAUGCACAUUUUGUUUUAAUCUCCUUUUUCCAAAACGGUGUGGGAGAAACUUUUCUUAGUGGCUAUGAUACAGUUGUUGGGGUGCACCCGUUGAAUGCAAGUUUCAAGGGCAGCUACCAGGCCUGAGGACUUCGGAACUUGUUCUUCUAAAUCUUCCUUCUCUGUGAUUUUGAAGAAUCAUAAAAUAGCAUCAAUAAAUUCAUAUUCUACUUAGAAAAUGGAUUAAAGUCACCUACGUAACUUGGUUGAAAGGAAGCGGUGAUAUGCUGCCCUAAUGCUGACUUGUAGCAGAAGAACUAAAAGUUUUUGGACCGUCAGCAGCAGCAAGAAAUCACAGAGCUGUAUUUACAGAGGCCAUUAAUUGUCCAGACUGUUGGGUAACAAAUUCUGAUAAACACGGAUCAGGAUAUGGUUCUUGAAUUAUGCAGAGGAUAAUUUCACAAUCCAGAAAACAGAGAAUUCAAGCAUAGAAAAAGCCAUACAAAACAUCUUAUUGCCAGCUGGGGAGGAAUUUGCAAUGAUGUCAGAAUUACAGGAAAGUUCAGCGCUAGUGACACUGGUCUGCUGGAUCACUCUGUGUGAUAAGGAACAGCUUUAGACAGUGGUCACAAUUACAGUUACAUACUCCACAAAGUAACUGACAUUAUGGCAAAAUGGGCCAUAGCAAUUAGAGGAAAGCUGUGAUAAAGCUAAGUGGACAGAAGCCUGCAAAUGUCUUAGUGAAAACUACUGUAAAACAUGUCGCUACAUGGGUGAUAGAUUUCAAUAUAUAAAAAAAAAGGGACUUAGGAAACGAUGAGCAGAUGCAGCAAUGGAGAAAAGAAAUGGCACUAUGGUGGAAAUAGGCUGGAACAUUCCAAAUGAUACAUAAUUAAAGUACAACAGAUCUUAGCUCCUCUUGAAAAAGGAAUAUUGUCCCUUUCUCGGGAAGUUAACUGUUUGGUAGAGGACCACAAGCGAGCCCAGUACUGCUGCCCUUUACUGUAAUCAGGUUAAAGGGCUGUCACUUACCUCUGAAAUGGGAGCUCAAGUGAUAUCUGUCAACCUUUGGAAGUUUUGCUGGAUCAGGAGUUACUUAUUAGCUGCUGCUGAAGUCAAGCACGGAGCACAGACAAUCAUCAAAAACACAGGGAGUGAAGACUUGUCAGGGCAAAUGAGCAGUUUGGGCUUUUUUUCUCUCAGCCAGCUGUGGUGAGCCACACUGAGUAUCUAAGAUAAAACAUCAGGAGAAAGAUAUUGUAACUUUAUUGGGGGAAAAAGGUGAGAUAGAGAUGACCUGAAAUAGAAGACGUGAAUGAAGAAUCGAUCAAGGAAAAUAAAAUAAAUUGGAAAAAAAAAAUAGAAUACUGUGAAAAGGAAUGCAAUGUAUGUCACACUUAAAAGCCCAGAUUUGUCUCCUCUGCAUUAUUAACCUCCAUCUUCCUUCAAGACCACAGUUAUGUAGAUCAGUGAUAGCUGAGUAUUCGCAGCUCACGUAAACCAGUCAAACAUGAACACAUACAACAGUGUCAAGGCCCUCACUAAACAGAAAUACCAGCAAAUAGAAAUACCUCAGGAGACGGAAGGAGCAGGAGAAUCUCAGGGAAAGCAUUACACUCAACACACAACCAGUGUACACAGUAUACUUUGCCAAAACCGGAGAAGUGUACGCUUAGCGUCAGCAUGAAUUAUGGGAAGGGAUUUCUUGGACUUUUCAUUUUGGAUCAGUGUUUGGAAAAUAACCAUAAACUGUAUAUUGACUUUAAAAUGGCUUACCAACAGGAAAAUAUUAGAACUGAUCCUGAAGCGUUCAAGGCUUUCCGAUUGCAACAUCGUGAAAUUCAAAGCCAUCUGCAACAACAAAAGAACCCAUUAGUGACCAAACAGCGCUGUUGGAUGAAGACUGUUAUUAUGAAGAAGGUUACACUUACAAUUCAAGGUUCAUUUCAAGCUGGUCUCUCAACUCUCUUCUAAAAUUUUUGUCAUGAGAAAUGCUUUUGUGAUUUCAUCUUGGUAAGAAUUAUCCUUUUAUACUUUUCAAAGCAAUGUUUUAAGUGUCUUUCCUUCCCAUUUGGGAUUUUUCUACAAGAAGUCUCUUUCUCCAAGUUACUGCCAAGCAGAUUUGCUCACUGUGGAAUCCAUUUGACUUCGCUGUGCAAGAUUUUGGACCUUUUUAACAAGUAAGUUUUAUAUCAGGGCUUCAACAUGCAUCUAAAAGCAGAGACAAACCCAUCCUCCUCUUAUUUUAAUUGUAUCUUUUGAAUAACAUGCUCAACAAACAGUCCCAAACAUCUAGCCAAAGGUGCUUUGAGUCAGGGAAUACAGACAAACACAUUUCUUCCUCGGAUGAAAAGAUGCUUUACUUUUUAUCGGGUUUGUUUUAUUCUAGAAUACCUACAUCUUUGCUUUAUAGAUGGCCUUUGUAGAGAGCUCCAGUUACCUGCUGAGAUUUGAUAAGUUUUCAUUCAUUGCUAAGUGGCAAAAAACAGACCAACAGGCAUUUAUUCCAUUUGACACCAGUCACACCAGCUGUUUCACGGGGAGCAACCAAGUGCAUCUUUCUUUUACAGUGUAUUUUGCUUUGGGGCAAAAGAUAGCAAUGCAUAAUAAUCACAUUUUGAGUAAAGGCUGGGUAAUAAACUUGUACCACGUGCCAAUACUGUAAAGAAAGAACUCCUAGCUCUCAAAUACUGUAUGCAGGUGUGGUACCUCAGUGGGAAACAGUUUAGGGAUGAAUUCUGCCUUCUAGUUUACUAUGACCAUGCUGAUUACAUUGGCCAUUCAAAAUAAAUAAAAUAGACCUCAUUGUUUUGCCUUCCUGUGAAGUGCUUGUAGAACAUUUUUAGCUGUAACCACUCUAUGCUCCAAGCUGACUGUAGUUGGAAUUGGUGUCCCUACACCACUUGAUUAGUUGAAUAAAUUCUGCAUGCCCAUGUCCGGGAUCCAUGGCAAUAGAGUUAUGUUGCUAUGCUAUGAAAUGUGCGGGAGGGUGCAACCCUUCACAAGGGAUAUGAUUUCCGGGGCUACUGAAACUUUGCAAUGUAGGCAAGAAAGAAUGCUUAAGGCAACAAACAAAAGAAAUCUCUGGAAUGGUGACAAGUAGGAUCGCUCAGGUCGGUGGGUACAGGCAGAACACCGACCUCUCAGGGAAACAGCUAUCUGAAAAUUGUUUAAAAAUUAUGUUGUGGACAAAGAUUAUCCUACUUCUGUGCUGGACAUUCUGAGGAGAGGGCACAUGGCAGCAGCGUGUGUAACACAUAUCUGUGUGAAGGGCUGAAUUAAUCCAUCAUGAUACGUACAGGAACUUUUAGCCAGGGCUGGAAAAGUGAGAAAACUAAAAGCCAGGAUGCUAACUAAAAGCUAAAAAACAGAGAUUGCAUCAAUCUCUCACAAACUAUCUGACAGAUGUAACUAUUAUUUCUGGCCAUACUGAUGACAGGAUUUCUUUUUCCCCUGGCAUAAUAAGCGAAAGUCUCCUUAGACCUGUUGUUUUAGUGAGUGCAGAAAACUCUUCCUGUUUUCAUGGCCUGGGGAGAGGAGGGAAGAUGAGAAGUCUGUACCUGUAUUUUUCCCUAGGCACUGUGGUACCAUCAGGAAUCAAGUGGACUGCUGCUAUCAGCAUCUCAAAGAUAGAGAAUGAAUUCAAGAAGGGGGGGGGGGGGAGGAAGGAGGAGGGGCUGUAAAAAAAAAAAAGGUAAAAAUACCUUAGCUUUCACAUGUCAGAGAGUGUCUUCUGUUCUCUUUGGGUCUUGACACUGCUAGCUGAACUACCCAAGAGACUAAAUUUAAAGGCUUGGAGCUGUGACAGGUUUUUGUUCUUGACCGGGAUCCUACCUGAAGUGAAAGGAGCAAUGUAGCACAUCAGAAAGGAUAUGUAAGGACUGUAAAUCUACCAGAAUUCUACUGCCUUAUUAGAACUGUAAUCUUGAAAUGUUUGUUUUAAGCAGUUUUCUCCAUGUUAAAUUUAAUAUUUCCCUAAAGUGCCAAAUAGAAAAGGUCCUGCUCUGUUAAACACUGUUAAAAACAUAUGAAGACAACACAUUGCUCAGAAGACCUUUCAAACUAAGGCCAGUAAUACCAAAGGAAAAGCAGGUAUCAAAUAAACUGUCUCAUUUGAUUUUAUCUUUCUCUUCUAUUCAGGUGCCCUAAAACCUUCCCAUCAUUAAUUGACUGACUUCCACUGUCACAGCACAGGUGGUCCUCCAAGAGAUUAGUUUUUCCUCAGAUAAUAAUCUUACUAUGCACUUCCAUCAUAACGCACUUUUGAAAAGCUUAAGUACUUCACAAAUAUUCAUGAACUUCAUCUCUUGGUGCCCACAUUCAGUCUGGACAGUUAGAAAACAAACUAGUUCAAACUAUCCUAACCCCAAUUUCCUUGUAACUCCACAUUAACCAUUCUAUAUAAUCCCAAUCUCCUUGCAAAUCCACAUUAUCUAUUCUACCCCUGGAUGGCACGCCGCUGUUUUCUGUGCUUCCAACUAUUGAGCCAGGAAACAGCAAGGGAUUUGGAUGAAUGAAGUAGUGGUGGGGAAUACAAAAAUCCCUAGGAAGCUUCAAGAGCUAUCCUCUGGGCUUCCUGAUCCACAGACACUGAAAAUGAAGCUGUGUUUGAAAAUGGGCCAAGAGAAGCCAGAACGCAACUUCUUCUAGGGGUCAUCGUUCUGCAGAGUGGUGCAGUUUCACCGUGUGCUGGUGCUGGGAAAACCAAAGUACAGGCUUCUAAAAGGUGCCAGACAGUCUCAAAGGCAGACAGCUGCCUCUGCAGAUUUUAGAAAAAUAGGCAUUCUCGGUCAAUGUCUUAGAAUAUAGAUAAAAAACUGAGAUCAAAUGAUGUUAUUGUCAUUUUUCUGAAAAAAUGUUAGGGAUAGCAUCUUAUCUGAGCCCAGCCUUCUCAGAGCUCUGUGGGUUUACCUGGACUACUCUUUGGUACUCUUUACUCAGUUUCUCUUUGGUAACAAUUUCAGGAAGAGGGGAAAAAAGAGUAAGGUAAAAAAAAAAAUCACUGAAUAUAAAAUAGAGAAAAACAAUCCCUACAUCUAACAAUAUAAGUUCCCAUGUAGUCAAGUUCAAGACAAGUGGAAAGUGGCAUUUUAUUUAUAAAUAAAGCAAAUAAACCAAAUGCACAGAGCUUGGCUAAGGGAAGACUAAAGGGAAUGUGAUGCAAGCACUGAAAAAUAAUAAACUGAAACUCUGAAUUCUAUACGGGGAUAUACGUUUUAGUGAUGUGCAUUAGCAUAAAAUUAAGCAAUGGGAAAUUUACAGCUUUCAAGUGUGAAAAAAAAGUGUGAUGAUGACAAUCUGUAAGGCUACAGAAUGGGAUUUUAAUGGAAGCUCUGAAAAAUCUACCUGUGUCAUUAAAACCAGGGCAGACCAAGAUCUUCGUAUCUUUGUGAAGUGACUCUGUAUACAGGAGGAGAAAGGCAAUGUAAAAUAAGUAAAUAAAUGCAUAAAAUACUGAAGUUUAACUGCCAGUUGUACUUCAAGCCUGUGGUAUAGGACAAAAUAAGCCUAACAUGAUAAUAAUAUAACAAAAAUUCCAUGAAUAUCCACUGGGAGAAGUUGCUUAUCUUCAAGGAAAAGAAAAAACAAACAAACAAACAAACAGUAACAGUAUAUCAAAGCCUUUUUUUUUAAAAUAAUUUUAUUUUCAGGCAUAUAUUCAUAGUUGUAUGCAUAUUUUGCUUUACGGUGUUAGCAUGCCAAUUUUAAGUGAAAGUUGCACUUUUAAUACUGCUUUGUUUGUCCUCAGAUGAACAAUACCCACUCUGAAGAUCAAUACAUGAGUAUUCUUAGAUAGGGAUGCAUGCUCAUAAUUCCUUAUGGAUGCGUGAAAAAUAAUAAACAAAAACCAUGAAUAAAA